ensembl:lncRNA
CCGAGGUGUCGUGACUCGUAAGCGCGAACCCGGAGCGGACGGAGUCGGAGCUUCUUUCCCUCUCCCCCGUGGAGCUCUUGAAUAAAAUAAAAUUUAAAGAAGAAAAUCGCAGUCGGAGUUUAAAUUCGGGAGACAAAAGUGGUUUUUUUACUCGGCCAGAGGAAUAAAACAGGAUUUCCGCUGUAAGGCGCGAACCGGUUGAAGCGCAGUGAAGGACCGAGGUGAUGAGAGACGGAGCGGAGUCGGUGAAUCGGUUGCGGAGUCGUUUGGCAUGUUACAUCGCAUUUGGAGGUUUGAUUUGCAAUGGGUCGUCUCCACUAACACAACGCUACGUGUCAUGCCGCACUAGCAACGUCAGUGCUUGGACCCGCCAGUCGCUGCUCGCGUGCAUUCGUUGAACAUUCGGUAAAAAAAAGUUAUCACUUACGUUCCAGCAGCUAUAAACACUUGGUCCGUCACUAACCUCUUUUUUUCUUUUUUUCUUUUUCUCGCUGUCUCGAAGUUAAUAAAAGAAAAAAAAAGAAGCUUGACACCACAAUCAGUCCUGAAGAGUUUCCUGUGGUGGAAAACCUACACACACUGGAGAAAAACCCAUACACACUGUAGAUUUGCCUUGUAGGAAUCUACAUUUAGUUACCAGGAUCUGAGGGAUGCAGUAACGUCGAUUGUGAUUGGCUGCAGACUUUUUAGUAGAAAUGAUGCCACACGUCAGACUUUUUUUAUUUUUAUGUAUAUAUAUAUAUAUAUCUGUUUAUAGUUAUGUUUAACGUUGUUCAUCCCUGUGCUAUCGUGGAACCAUUUCAGAAUAUCGGAACUUAAUAAAGUCAUUCGUAGCUACGACUGGCCAAUCCGUAUUGAAAAUUCACCAGUUACGAUGAUAGCUGUACGACGUCCACGCUAUACCGUAAGUCCUGCUUGUAGUAGGCUUUAUGAGGACUUGAGCUGCGCGCUCGCUGUAAUGUAACGGACGUCGAACGUUUACCGCUCGGUUCUCGGCUUAAUUACUCCGGGCACCGGGAAGAGAGAGCGUGUAUGCUGCUUGAUUGUUGUCCCAGCAGCGUAAUGCUUCUGUGAUCAAACAUUAUCGAGCGCAGCACUCGAUAACCUCAGCAGCCACGUUUUUUUUUUUUCUCUUCUUUUCCAGGUCUACAGCCUUCAUCCACUUAAAAAGGUUGUACAUGUUCUUCCUGCGUGGGUCUUUUUUUUACUCUAGUUCUCCAAGUUAUUACGCUCGUCUCUCCAAGUCGUUCUGUCUCUAUCGUACUGAACCCGACUCGCCGGCGAGAGCUGCAGCACGCCGUCUGGACUCCUCGAAGCCUAGGAGCGUUGGGUUCGGGCUUUGUGCCCAGUUUUCAUCUGGAGUGUUGAUGAAACCAGAGCUUGAUGAGUCAUCUCUCACCAUCUGCCGGCGCUCUUAAACACACCAGAUACGGCUUAGUUUUCUCUUCCCUGCCUACGUGCGUAUGUAAGCGAAGUUUUUCUAUAUAUAAAAUGUCUACUUUUUUUUCUUUUUCUUUUUCCCUUGAGGAAAGUGGUUACUCUUUUCGUGCGCGUAAAUUCACGAGGGUUUUUAUUGCACUUUCUUUUCCAGCUCAUAAACCUCAGCGAGAGAGAAAGAGCAGCAGUGCGCCGCGGUACGUUUUUUUGUCUGUUGCAUUGUUCCGGUGAUUAAUGUCAUUCCUGACUAACCCAGCACACCUACUCGUAAAAGUCUUUUCUUUUUUUUCUUUCUUAAAUCUAAUAACAACAGCUUCUCAGUAUGCGGCAUAAAGCCUCAUUCAUAACCAGCUGGGAGUUGGUCAUGUGACCAGCAUUGGCAUUACCGCUUUUAAUUAUUACCUAAUAAAUCCGACGUACGAUUUCGGGUUCCCGUUCGCGCCCGACGAGUCGAACCUGACGCCGUAUUGCGCUGCUGUAGCUUCAAGUCUCACCGUCUCGUUUUGAGAUGCUUUCCUGCUCACCACAGCUGUAACGAGCAGUUAUUUGAACUAGACUUCUUCACCGCGCAUCGUCCUCUAGCCUCGCUCAUCCACAAGGCAGAACUGCCACUCGCUGAACAUUAUCAUUACGAUCGGUUAUUUUAUUUAUUUAUUUAUUUAUUUACUGUCCCCCCGCACCAUUCUAAAUCACCAUCCCAAUAGGACUAUAUUGUUCAACGUGGACGUAAGGUCUUUAGGUUAGAAGUUAGAAUACUGUCGUAAUCCCUAAGCCUGCCGUGUGUCCCCUGCCUGAACGAUCUGAUUUUUGUUCUCCUCGGUCAUUACGUAUUUAUUUUCCGCCACGGCUGCCAGCGUGCGCUUUUAUCGAACCUCCCUUUAAAAGGCUUACGUCUUCGUGAUGUGGGAAUUUGAAGCAGUGUGAAAAGAGAUAACCGAUGACUCGUAGCGGUAAUGAAAGCAAUUAGAACAUCGCCGGUUUCGCCAGAGCGUGCAAAGGACUAAUUUGUAGACGACGUAUAGCGUCUUUGCGGAUCGCGUUAACGGUUACGGACGGAAGACAAAAACGCUCCCUGUCAUUUUUAAAAGUAAUUAAAUUCCCUCAUCGCCCGAAGGACAAGGAUGAGAUACGUACACCAUUGUCCGGUCUUAUCAAAACCGGUCCUGGCACACGUCCGCUUUCUUUUCUUUUCUUUUCUUUUCGUUUUUUUAUCUCCCCGAUUAUGCUUUGCAAUUAAAUUUAAUAUCGAAGGAUCAUACGAGAAAGAUUCGCCUGCUCUCGGUGCACGAUGACUCAGCUGAAUCAGACGUAGAUGAAAAAGGUGGAAGGAUAAAAAAAUUAUAUAUAUUUUUUUAAAAACCCCACUGUGCUUUUCAAAAGUUUUAAGGAGAAACUCUUGAGAAACAGCUUUUUGAGUCGGAGUCUUCGCUUGAUUCGUCACACUCUCAGAGAGCCGUACGACGAUGUAAUAUCGUUACUGCGAUAUUAACCUUGCUAUGAGGCCUCGAGGUAAAAUAUCUCUGAAGGUAUAGUUCUCCGUGAUGAUGGAUGGAUCACGAUUCUCCGGGGCGUUUCUAUGAUACGGGAUAGAAUACAACAACAACAAAUUUAACGUAAAAGAUUUUAUCCUUUACUCUUCCACAUGAGCAUUUGCAUGGAUUGGGCCUCACGUAUUAUGGUUUUGAAACGUGCCUAAUUUUGUUUGAAAUAUCUCACACGAUAGAUUUACGCACAUCCGAGGUCAAAAACACUUUUUAACGCGCUCAUAAUUUAAAUCGCAGAGUUACCUUUUCCCCCCAGUGUCACAAACGACUCGCUAAAUGAUCCGUUCGAAAGGAUUCGUUCUGAGCUCCUCCUUUCAGAGAGCAUACUCUGCUCUGGGGCUGCAACUAAUGAUUAUUUUCAUAAUUGAUUAGUUGGCCGAUUCUUUUUUGCGAUUAAUCGGAUGGGGGGGGAGCGAACUUUCAGUACAAACCUCAGACUAAACCUUAAAACUUUACACAACUGUUUGCCCAAAACAGAAAAGAACCCAAUACACUCACACACACACACA